rnacentral:rRNA from 1 species
CCUACGGGAGGCAGCAGUGAGGAAUAUUGGUCAAUGGACGAGAGUCUGAACCAGCCAAGUAGCGUGAAGGAUGACUGCCCUAUGGGUUGUAAACUUCUUUUAUAUGGGAAUAAAAUGUUCCACGUGUGGGCUUUUGUAUGUACCAUAUGAAUAAGGAUCGGCUAACUCCGUGCCAGCAGCCGCGGUAAUACGGAGGAUCCGAGCGUUAUCCGGAUUUAUUGGGUUUAAAGGGAGCGAAGGUGGAUUGUUAAGUCAGUUGUGAAAGUUUGCGGCUCAACCGUAAAAUUGCAGUUGAAACUGGCAGUCUUGAGUACAGGAGAGGUGGGCGGAAUUCGUGGUGUAGCGGUGAAAUGCUUAGAUAUCACGAAGAACUCCGAUUGCGAAGGCAGCUCACUGGACUGCAACUGACACUGAGGCUCGAAAGUGUGGGUAUCAAACAGGAUUAGAUACCCGGGUAGUC